GCUGCCCGUAGGCGGGCGGCGCGGGCGGCUGCUGGCCGCCGUACGCCGGGGGCGCGGGCGGGGCGCCGUAGGGCUGCGGCGCGGGCGGCU
rnacentral:tRNA from 1 species